CGCAAUUUGGCUUCAGGAACUUUGUAAAAGCAAUGGGGGAGAAACAACCACCAUCAAUGGAAAACUGCUCAUCCCUUCUUUGCCAACCGCCUAUACGGCAAAGGCAAAUAAAAAGAUGACAAAAAAAUUAGAUUGAGCCAGAGAUAACAUCAAAGCGGCUUUUCAGAAAAAAAAGCAAUGUUGACAUUUAACAACGCGCACCACAGCGUCCUCUGCUGGGAAAGGCUUUGGAGGUGUGGCUGGACAGAGCGAGAGGGGCAGGAGACUCAUUUUAAUUUUCAAGCUAAAUCCGCUCUUCUCAAGCUUAGACUGUAUUUACCCACUGUAGCUUUAAGAAAGAUGCGACUUGUGCGAGCGCAGUUAACUUCCUGAAAAGAUGCUAGAUAGUGGACACACAAUAAAGCUUUGAUUUAUGUUUAUUUGCAUAUUGCAGCUCUCUGUAAUAUUGGAACUGCAAAGGCUUAUACUAUUGCGAGAAUGAUAACAUUGUGUAACCCUAGUUAAAUCCCUUCUGAAGAAGUAAAGAAAUAAAGACAUCUGCAGCACAGGAUUAGCAUCACAUCAACAGAAAGUGAUGAUGUUUUUAGACAACAUGCCAGGAUUCCAUUAUCUUUAUUAGAAUACAUUAGACAUGCUGACUUUCUGUCUUCCAAAUAUUUGGAUUUCUGGCACUGGUAAAUCUGUUCAGAACAGGUUUUGUCUGAAAUGGAUCGAACUACUUUUAGCGCAAAGCAGUCUGCAACCUCUUUACUGUGUCUACAGGGAGCUGAAACAAGCAUUUUUGAUUAGAGGGUUUGUAUAAAAAUCCAUUGCUUAAUCAGUUUCACAUACUUCACAUCUGAUCCUUUAAAUCAAAGCAAUAACAUCUUCAAAUAUUCUGUCAGUUCCCACUAGUCAGGUUUCCUUUGUUUCAGGACUACAUGUAUUCUGGAUCAAAUACAAGAGGACUUAAGUUGAACUGGACAUAAAACUUGGUGUCUGUUUAUUACAGAAAAUAAAACUAGUAGUUUUCUAACAGAUUUUUAAACACUGACCCAAACCAUAAUAGGUCACAAGAUUUGUUGUAGUCAGUACUGUAAAAGGUACAGGUUUUCAUGUAUACCUUUAAUCAUACACUUUUUGGCUUUCAGCAAGGCCAAAAUGUUUUUCUGUCAAAAUUACUCCACAUUUUCAUACUAGAGCUGGUAUGUACAUGCAACAUUCUCAAUGCCAAUUCAACAUUCCUACAGCCACCUACCCCAUCCACUUAAACAGUCAAAGGUGGUUUCUGGAUACCAAAAAGGAAAUAAACCAAAAACACAUAGAAUCACACAUUUUGCACUGAAUGAUCCAAACGGAACACUUUAUUAAUUUCACAUAAACAUGGGCAACCAGCCAGAGGAGCUUUUCUGGGAUAGAUUUACAGGGUGGGAGAGGGAACUGGGCACAUCAUGUGGAGGACCAGUCAGUGAGCAGUUU